GUUUUAGUAGUUUAAAAAAAACUUUGGUCUUGUAAAUCAAAAUUAAGGCUACAAAACCUUCUAAGACU
rnacentral:tRNA from 1 species